GAGGAGACCAUCAAUCCCUAAACAAAAAACAAACCCUAAAUCGAUCCUCACCGUCUGCCCUGGUUCUUUCUUCAUCAUCACAGCAGUUUUGCUGAACCGAGUUGAGCCUGGUCCCUGGUUCUUUCUUCAUCAUCACAGCAGUCAACAGAGGAGUGUAAGGUCGAAAUCGAGUGAGUAAACAAGCCGAUAUCAUCAUCAUCAUCAACGCAGGAGGACAUCAUCAUCAUUAAGGGUUGUAAUGAUUUCAGUUUCUUUUCAAGUCGAAACAUUAAGGUUGCAAUGCCUGUUGGGAACUAUACUACAUCGAGCAUGAAAUUCAGGAGACGUCGUAAACA